rnacentral:rRNA from 1 species
UACGUAGGGUGCGAGCGUUAAUCGGAAUUACUGGGCGUAAAGCGUGCGCAGGCGGUGAUGUAAGACCGAUGUGAAAUCCCCGGGCUCAACCUGGGAACUGCAUUUGUGACUGCAUGGCUAGAGUACGGUAGAGGGGGAUGGAAUUCCGCGUGUAGCAGUGAAAUGCGUAGAUAUGCGGAGGAACACCGAUGGCGAAGGCAAUCCCCUGGACCUGUACUGACGCUCAUGCACGAAAGCGUGGGGAGCAAACAGG